GUGUGUGCAUUCGCAUCGAAGCCAAAAUGAAGACAUGCAUAGUCUUUGUUCUAGUGGCUUUCAUCACCGUGGGGAUGGAGAUGGCCUGUGGUAACCCUCUGACAUCUCCUGUCCAAGAGCAACAGAGACCUGGAGUCUGCCCGAAGGUGCCCAAAGAAAUCAUUGGGCCUUGUUUUGAUGGAUGCACAGGAGAUGCAUCAUGUCCCAAGCGAAUGAAAUGCUGCGUCCAUGGAUGUGGUCGUGUCUGCAAAACUGCUCUCCCUGCAAAGGGUGGCGUUGGUGGCCAAGUGAAAGAUGGACAAGGUGUUUAUUAAGCAUGCCUGGAGACCAGCCCCAGAAGAUUUCUCGUGAAUCUGAUGCUUGGCUAACAAGACUCUCCUACAAACCAUUCCUGGCUAUUCUCUAUGCCAGGACUUGCAGCUCUAGAAGAUGAAGAUCUAAAGUGGUGGAGUGACCACUUCUAAAGAGCUUAUGUCCAAAAUAAACCUUAUCUGUGGCAU